rnacentral:sRNA from 1 species
AUGGACCACGCGUCCACUACGGGUCUGAGCGCGCCGUCCGCGCCCACCUGACCGCUGCUCGCGACGUGUUGUUCGCC